ACGUAGGGGGCGAGCGUUAUCCGGAUUUACUGGGUGUAAAGGGAGCGUAGACGGCGUAUCAAGUCUGAUGUGAAAGGCAGGGGCUUAACCCCUGGACUGCAUUGGAAACUGGUAUGCUUGAGUGCCGGAGGGGUAAGCGGAAUUCCUAGUGUAGCGGUGAAAUGCGUAGAUAUUAGGAGGAACACCAGUGGCGAAGGCGGCUUACUGGACGGUAACUGACGUUGAGGCUCGAAAGCGUGGGGAGCAAACAG
rnacentral:rRNA from 1 species